UCCCAGGUGGCUCAGAGGUUAAAGCAUCUGCCCUCAAUGUGGGAGACCUGGGUUCAAUUCCUGGGUUGGGAA
rnacentral:tRNA from 1 species